rnacentral:lncRNA from 10 species
CUACAGAGUGGGUCUAGGUCCAGGUACAGUCUCAGAACCACACUGCAAAACUGGCUUAGUCAGGUAGCUGCUGUAUCUGCUGCUUCCACUGUGAACUCAAAAACCACAUUGCCUGUGCUGCAGGCCGGAAAGCUGCUGAACCAGGAAGCUGUGCUGAUGCUGCUGACUGCCCCUGAGGUUAGAGAUUGACUAGACAUAGUGCCACUGUCAUCCCUGCUGGAGAAGGUCCGAAGCACCUCCACCUCUGUGCUUCCAGAGGGGCACUGUGGUGGCCACUUAAAAUGCUCAGGCUAUACCAUGCACUAGAGCAUCUACCUGGGCAAGGGAUAUGCUGUAUGACACUCUCCUGAUGCUGGGCAUGGCUGUGAGCCAAAGCACCCAGGCAGCCCUGCCAUCAGAAGGGUAAACCACGGACACCUGAUGCCUUCCUGAAGGAAGAGCACUACGCCUGCCAAACCAUCAAGCGUUGAUGCUCCAGCGCCUUCUACCCGUGGUUCUCCAGCCUCAGCAGAAGAGAGAGAAAUUGAUGACCCUGUCGUUGUAGCAUCCCCAUCACCCAGCAAUUAAUUUUAGUUCAAUGCUUCAAACGCUCUUCAGGCGCAGUGUGCGUUCAGCUGUGUCAGCUAAUGCAAAUGGGGGAUCUCAGAAGUCUUAAUGAAGUAACUAUCCCUGAACACUGGGAUCAAUACUCAGCAUCCAGCUGUCAAAUCAACACCAAGCGUUUCACUCGUCGCCCAGCCUAGAGUGCAAUGGCGCUAUUUCGGCUCAUUAUAACCUCCGCCUCCCGGGUUCAAGCAAUUCUUCUGCUUCAGCGUCCCAAGUAGCUGGGAUUACAGGCCUUCAGUUGCAAAGUUCUCCAUUGUCAGAUUACGCUGCCUGAUGGGCAUGAAAAGUCCACAAAAGAGAAUUUUCUGAUGUGAGAAUGGAGGGUGUUGCCUGCAACUACCCCAGAUCCCUGCGGUGGCAGUUUAAGCCGCCUCCUGGAGCAGAUUGUUAAGCUGAUGCGAGUCUGGGCUCUGCCUCACCACUUGUCUCAGAGACAGAGUCUUGCUCUGUCACCUAGGCUGGAGUGCAGUGGUGCCAUCACAGCUCACUGCAGCCUCGACCUCCCCGUGCUCAAGUGAUCCUCACACCUCAGCCUCCCGAGUAGCCGCGAUCACAAGAAAGACCUGAUGUCAUAUGGAAGCCAAGAAGAAACUCUUGUCCAAUUUGUAGGGAAAGCAGAGAGACAGAGAGACAGAGAGAGCUUCAGCUUGGUUUCAAAACAAGGAUGGAAAUACAGAACAACUUAAGUUACCAGCACACUUCAUAACAAUUAAAAAUCAUCUCGCUUCUUCCUUCUGCCAGCAUAAUUUUGGGCUCACAGGUGGAUUGACCUGACCUCCAAGAAAUGUGUGACAAGGACUCGCCCCUUACCUCCUCAGUUACAGCACGUUUGGUGUUUAUGUGAAGCUGGUGGCUUUCAGUAUCAUGGUGAAAAUUUUCUUUUAGGUCAUAAUUGCUUAACUACAAUGAAAAGUAUUGAUUUUGGAAAAGGCUCAUCUUCCCAAAGAGGUUCACUUCAGGAGGUGAAUUAAUGUGCUCCAGGGACAGUCAUGGAAAAUGCUUGGCCACACUGGCCGUGUUCUGUAGCCAGGCAUUGCUGAACAGUGCAGAGAAAGGCGCUGGAGGCAGACAGAGCUGGGCUGGAAGCCAGGCUCCACUUCAUACCAGAAGUAUGAGCCCGGGCAAGUUAUUGAACUUCUACAGCUUAGUUUACGUAGCUGUGAAAAUGGAUGAAUAAUGCCUGCUUGUGCUGUUGUUAGGGAGGGGACGCCUGCUUGGAGGCGAGUAUGCAGUAGGUGCUCAGUGAGUGGUGAUGAGAUAAAAAGCAAUGCUGCUCAUUUUCUAUAUUUCUCUUUUCAUACUUAUUGAGAUUACAAUGGAGAGAAGGGACACCAGCUUAAAAGAAAACAUUUGCAAAUCUGUUUCUGAUAAAUGGAAAUGAGAGCAACUGUAAACCACAUGAGUCUGUCCAGGACAGAAGAGAGUGAGUGAAGGAAGGCUUUCUCAGCUGGGUGGUUAUGUGAGCAGCGCCUCUACUGCCUCUCUGUUAAGUAAUUUAUCUGGACAUCUUGAUUGAUAAUGAUGUGGCACUAAAAAACGAAAAGGCAUCACAAAACUGCAAACCCUCUGCUUGCACUGUGGGAAUAAAAUUGGUCACGAAAAGGUGAUGGCCACAAAAAUCUGGUGGCGGGGUGGGGGGCGGGGGGUGCGGGGAAUAGAAAAUCUUACAUAAUAUCUAUUCCUGUGUUAUUUUUUUAAAAUCAGUUUAUACAGUCUAAUUUUUAAAAACAAAAGCUAGAUUUUAGCUCUUCUCAAUCCAGUGAUUUGAAAUCAGCCUGAAGAGAGCAAGGUGCAUUGAAUUUGCUAUGACAUCAACCGAAUUUGUCAAUUUCAUUUGGAUUUCCAGAAUGUCCAGUGCUAGGAGACUCAUAAGUUGGAGAGAAACGGCCUGAUUUAUAGAAACUGAGCGAGACUCCGGACCACCUGAUGCAGAGAAACCUGUGACCUGAAAAAGUCUAUUUGUGUUUCCUCUAGGAAUCUCGGCCAAGAAGACAGGGACAAGCUCCCAACUCUGACUACCCCUUUUACAGGGAAAAAAAAAAAAUCCCGUGCCUUCUUUGCAGCAAGUGACAAAUCCUUGUCAUAUCGAGAUGGCUUUUCCUCCUCCUCUUCAAACAUCUUUUAGCAGCAACAGCAGCUCAAGUAACUGGAAUUAUUUCAGAGUUAAAAUGCAGGCUUUGUAGACCCUCUUAGACAGACAGAUUCAAUUUCAAAGGAAACUUCUUUGGCUGGGUACUCAGUGAGUGUUACACAGGGAUUUGGGGAGUUAAUAUUCACUGUUUCUGUUGUUGGAGAAAAGGAAAGCAGAGUUGCUCUUUCUCAUUACUCUCCCCAACGCACAUCUGUUUCCUCUCGUAUCUUGGAAUUAGGAAGAUGGAGGAGACUUAAGUGGUGACCCACCUAGCCUCCUGAUGCAUGCUGGGCUCACUUUAAAACUCCCAAAACAGAUGGCAGUUGAUCACGGUUUUAAAGAUCCCAGCAUAGACUUUCUGCAGCCUCCCUUGUUAGCCACUAUCAGCGCUUAACAUUCUGUCAUCUGAAUAACUCCUUAAAAAUGAUAGCAAUGGUAGUAGAAAUUUAAAAGGAACCUCCCAAAAAACAUGCAAAAGCUUACCACCCCAGUAAAUCACCCGCAACAAUGUCGCAACAGUUUAAAUUUACUGCAGAGAGAGCUGAAGUUUAGGAGACACAGCUUUAUAAUAUUUUUGAGAGAUAGUUGAGUGCAAAUGAGUCCUGUUCCUCUUGCAUCAGGGCCUGCUCCACUGAGUCAUCCUGCCUUCAGAAGCUUCCAGCUAAGUGGCAGGCCCCGGCCAUAGGCUCCCUGUGUCCCCAGCCUCCAGAGAACACACAAUGUUCUCAUCGCCCUUAGCUCCAUUCCAGAAGGGGCCUGCAGUUCUGCAGCUUAUCAGGGGUCUACUGGGAAGUGAGAUGUCACUGUCCCUUUCUGGCCCUGCAUUGUCUGUGAGUGGCUCUCCUGGAUUAAGAGUUGGCAAAGUAUGGCCAGUGGCCAGGACUGGCCUGCUGCCUGUUUUUGUUUAACCCGUGAGCUAAGAAUAGUUUUUACCUAUUUUAAGUAGUUGAAAAAAAAAUCAAGAGAAGAAUACUAUUUCGUGAUAUGUGAAAAAUCACAUGAAAUUCAAAUGUAAGUGUCCAUAAAUAAAGUCUUACUGGAAGACAGCCUUGCUCAUUUAUUUCUGUCUCAUUCGCUACUGUCUGCGGCUGCCUUCACGCUACAAUGGCAGUACUGAGUAGUUGUGACGGGCACUGUAUGACAGCAAAUCCUAAAGUAUUUGCCAUCUGGCCCUUCACAGAAAAAGUUUGCUGACCCUGGCUUUCGAGCCUCUCAUCACUUUGGGAUUCAUCUCUUUACUUUCCCCAGAGUGAGGGAGGCAGUAACGUUCCUCGUGAGUGCUUAGUCCUUGCUCCCAAGGCAAUAAACCCCCCAAAACCCCUCUCUUUCUGCAGUCUUCUUGUUGGCUUGAUAGUGGUAGGGCUGGUUCAGCCAAGGUCACAGUUGGAGGGCAGGAAGGGGGUACAGCGAAGGACGACGGGGGUGUCUUCUCUAGUCCUGUUUGCAGCAAUCUUUAGAAUGCAAAAUAAUUAAGAAGAAACUGCUGUUUUUUGGCUGUGGGAUGCAAUUCGAAUUCUGGAAAAUUAGAAUCAACAGAACGUGGGAUGUGGGAGUCCAGGACAACUCCCCUGUUUUGGCUGUGUUUGGUGCCAUGUGUGGAGGUGGGAGAGAUGGGAGAAAGAAGAGGUUUGGGCAGGGGGAGGGAAGAAUCAAGAUUCUGCUUUGAAUGGACGAAGGUUGUGGUUUGUUGAGAGGACAACUAGAUAACUGGCCACUUGAAGAUGGGAUGGAAGUCUGAAUCUGCAAGGAGUCACAGAUGAAUGGUAUGGAAAGCUGUGGUAGUGGAUGAGAUCAUACGAACGGUGGGUGCAGAUGGAAACGAGAAGCCAUCUAAGGACUCGUAAUGGGCUCCUCAACACUUGGAAGUUGGGUAGAGGAAGAAGACCGCAUGAGGGCAGGAUCCUGAAUGUUCCACUCACUGCUAUAUCCCUAGCACUGGUUACAGUGCUUGGCACACACUGCAUGCUCAAUAAAUUAUUUGUUGCCCAUAUAAGUGAACGUGAAUUCCAAUGGACUAGCAUCUUCCACUCUCAACAUAAACAAAAACAACAGCAACAUUGCAAUUCCCUAUCUUCUCUUCCCUGAUCUCUUUCUCAUUCUGUCUCUCCUUCCCUUUUCCUCUGCCUUCCUGUUGCCUUCUCUGAUAUGAGUUAAAUUUAUCAGGGGUGUCCAGGUACCCGGCUAUUCUUGAGCAUUCCUUAUCUGGCUA